UCAGAACGAACGCUGGCGGCAGGCUUAACACAUGCAAGUCGAGCGCCCCGCAAGGGGAGCGGCAGACGGGUGAGUAACGCGUGGGAAUCUACCCUUGACUACGGAAUAACGCAGGGAAACUUGUGCUAAUACCGUAUGUGUCCUUCGGGAGAAAGAUUUAUCGGUCAAGGAUGAGCCCGCGUUGGAUUAGCUAGUUGGUGGGGUAAAGGCCUACCAAGGCGACGAUCCAUAGCUGGUCUGAGAGGAUGAUCAGCCACAUUGGGACUGAGACACGGCCCAAACUCCUACGGGAGGCAGCAGUGGGGAAUAUUGGACAAUGGGCGCAAGCCUGAUCCAGCCAUGCCGCGUGAGUGAUGAAGGCCCUAGGGUUGUAAAGCUCUUUCACCGGAGAAGAUA
rnacentral:rRNA from 1 species